AUGAACGCUGGCGGUAUGCCUAACACAUGCAAGUCGAACCGGAACUCUUCGGAGUUCAGUGGCGGACGGGUGAGUAACGCGUGAGAAUCUGCCUAGAGGAUGGGGACAACCACGGGAAACUGUGGCUAAUACCCAAUGAGCGGAGACGUAAAAGAUUUAUCGCCUCUAGAGGAGCUCGCGUCUGAUUAGCUAGUUGGUGGGGUAAAAGCCUACCUAGGCGACGAUCAGUAGCUGGUCUGAGAGGAUGAAUCAGCCACACUGGGACUGAGACACGGCCCAGACUCCUACGGGAGGCAGCAGUGGGGAAUUUUCCGCAAUGGGCGAAAGCCUGACGGAGCAAUACCGCGUGAGGGAGGAAGGCUCUUGGGUCGUAACCCUCUUUUCUCAGGAAGAACAGCAAGUGACGGUACUUGAGGAAUCAGCAUCGGCUAACUCCGUGCCAGCAGCCGCGGUAAUACGGAGGAUGCAAGCGUUAUCCGGAAUUAUUGGGCGUAAAGCGUCCGCAGGUGGUGAUUAAGUCUGCUGUCAAAGCGUCUAGGCUUCAACCUAGAUACAGGCAGUGGAAACUGACAGGACUAGAGAGCGUUCGGGGCAGAGGGAAUUCCUGGUGUAGCGGUGAAAUGCGUAGAGAUCAGGAAGAACAUCGGUGGCGAAAGCGCUCUACUAGGCCGCAUCUGACACUGAGGGACGAAAGCUAGGGGAGCGAAUGGGAUUAGAUACCCAGUAGUCCUAGCCGUAAACGAUGGAUACUAGGCGUGGCUUGUAUCGACCCGAGCCGUGCCGGAGCUAACGCGUUAAGUAUCCCGCCUGGGGAGUACGCACGCAAGUGUGAAACUCAAAGGAAUUGACGGGGGCCCGCACAAGCGGUGGAGUAUGUGGUUUAAUUCGAUGCAACGCGAAGAACCUUACCAGAGCUUGACAUGUCGCGAAUCUUCUUGAAAGGGAAGGAGUGCCUUCGGGAAGCGCGAACACAGGUGGUGCAUGGCUGUCGUCAGCUCGUGUCGUGAGAUGUUGGGUUAAGUCCCGCAACGAGCGCAACCCUCGUUUUAGUUGCCAGCAUUAAGUUGGGCACUCUAGAGAGACUGCCGGUGACAAACCGGAGGAAGGUGGGGAUGACGUCAAGUCAGCAUGCCCCUCACGUCCUGGGCUACACACGUACUACAAUGCUACGGACAGAGGGCAGCAAGCCGCAGACUGGCAAGCAAAUCCCAUAAACCGUGACUCAGUUCAGAUCGCAGGCUGCAACUCGCCUGCGUGAAGGAGGAAUCGCUAGUAAUUGCAGGUCAGCAUACGGCAGGUGAAUUCGUUCCCGGGCCUUGUACACACCGCCCGUCACACCAUGGAGCGGUGGCACCCGAAGUCGUUACCCUAACCUGAAGGCGGGGAGGAUGCCUAAGGCAGUGCUGGUGACUGGGGUG
rnacentral:rRNA from 1 species